AACCCCGGCAAUGGGUAGAGACACCUUGUUGGUGGUGGUGGUAUUCUUGUAUCAGUCAGGGACAGAGCAGAUGGCAGUCCUUUGUUCAUCCUAGCUUGAUUCCUGGCUUGGUGGACAAAGCUAUCUUAUGCCUAGGACACAUAA